rnacentral:rRNA from 1 species
GAUGCGCAAGUCGGAAGGGUUGUGUCAGGGCCUCGGUCCUGCCUGAGAGACCCAUGUGUUUGGAACGGGCGAAGUGAGAGCAAUUUCGUGGGUGCGAGAGCCUUGGGGAGACCCGAGGCGCAUCGCUGGCCGAGCCGUAUGGUCACGCUGUGGCCGGUUUCGAGUGCGAGCGUAUCUGUUGCGACCCGAAAGAUGGUGAACUAUGCCUGAGGAGGGUGAAGCCAGAGGAAACUCUGGUGGAGGCCCGUAGCGGUUCUGACGUGCAAAUCGAUCGUCGCACUUGGGUAUAGGGGCGAAAGACUAAUCGAACCAUCUAGUAGCUGGUUCCCUCCGAAGUUUCCCUCAGGAUAGCUGGAGUUGUUGAGCAGUUUCGUCGGGUAAAGCGAAUGAUUAGAGGUAUCGGGGUUGAAAGGGCCUCGCCCUAUUCUCAAACUUUAAAUCGGCGAGAAGGGUUGUCUUGCCUGCCGGAAGGCAUCCCUUGAAUGCAGGGGCUCCAAGUGGGCCGUUUUUGGUAAGCAGAACCGGCGAUGCGGGAUGAACCGAACGUUGGGCUAUGGCGCCGGAGUCGACGCURAGCAGAUACCAMGGAAAGGUGUUGGUUGAUCUAGACAGCAGGACGG